rnacentral:lncRNA from 1 species
AAUAACUGCCACGGAGGAUGACAUCACAGAAGUCUGGCCUGUGCCAACAUUCUGUGCAGGUGAGGUCAUUGCCCUCAGUGGGACUGUGAGCCACAUGUGGAGCACACUGGCUCUUGUGCAGUGGCCACUCUCUCCACAUUGGUCCACUUCCCAGCCCAUCACGGGGUGGCAGGUGUAGACGGGCUCUUACAGGGCUCAUGACCAAUGGAACGUAGUUGUAAACUAACCCCAGAGCAGGGAUGAGUAAGUGUACAGCAUUCCUUCAAAUCAAUCACAACAGAGCUGCCCCUUCUCUGCUCGCAGGUCUUCCUCAGGCUGGGUAAGAGGUCAGUGCUGUGGGCUUUACCCUCAAUUGACAGUCACCAGAAAGCGAUGACAAAUUGAACAUACCACAGUGGGACAAGGACACUGGCAGAUGAACCUUGCCCAAAUCUUUUAUGUUAUCUAAGAUCUUAGCUAAGGACAGUAUGAUGUUUCAGUUGCCAAGGUAUUCUAAACUCUACUUCCCUAUUUUCAUACACAUGAGUAGACCCAUGAUGCAUUUAAUUAGACCCAUGAUGCAGUGUGUGUAAACUGCUUGGGCAAUCUUUGGGCCCAGCAGUGAGAGCACCAGGAUGAGACCUGGGGUUUCCAUCCAGGCUCCACUCUGGUUUCCAGCUUCAUCCUGGGGCUCCAGCAACUUCAGACACCUAGGAGGAGCAUGCGCUCUCGCUCCCUCCUUCUUAAAUAAAUAAAGAAAAAAUUCUUAGAAAAUGAAAUCUUCAAAUUAUAGAGUCUAGGCAGAUUGAACAUCAAUGCUGGCCUCGGCUCCACACUGGCCCAGUGCCAAGGGAAGGGCCUAGAACAAUUGGAGCAGUGGGCAGUGGAGCAAACUGCCCAUGGACAGGCACCUGCCCAAGAGUCACCGUGCCCGGCCACUAGAGUACCUCCAGCUGCCAGGCCACACCCCACCCACCCUCUUGGAACCAUUUCUCCCUCCCCACCCCAAGGGGUCCCACCCAGGUCUCUGCCCCUCAGUGACUUUGGGGGAGGGGCUCAUAUACACGGACCCAGUGCCAAGAGGGACAGCAGGUUCUGCCACCCACACCCACCCGUUGAAACCUCCAGAGUCAGCAACUGGGACUGUGUUGUGUGGGAAGUUGCCUUCCAGGAUCUGGGCUGCUGGGGUCCCUGGUGCAUCUGUCAGCAAGGCCAGGCCCUCCUGGGGAGCUUCCACAACCACAGUGGGGGAAGGGGCACAGUUAGAGGGAGACAGAAGCCACAGAAGCUGACACUGUGCCCCAACCCCUGUAGCCUCUGUAUCCCUGCCCCACCUGCCCUGGCCUGGCUGGCCCCUGCAAAACCUGGUUUCUCCCCAGGAAUGUUUGUUCCCGUUCUCUGCUGGGGGAGUUUUUUCAUGGCGGGGCCUCAUCCUCGACGAAGCUGUGGGACUCAGAGCCAGGCUCUGUGUGGCCCGACGAUCCUGCUGACCCCGGCCUCCUGUAGACCAUGGGCCGCCAUACCCCUGGCCGCAUUUCCAGCUUUUCAAGUGGGAAGAAACCACCCUGCGUCCCAGGACUUGCACUUCUGUGGGCCAUCCUCAGCAAGACAUUUUCAUGGAUAUGAAACUGGACACCGAGUUGACGCUGAAGUUCAGCUGCUGGGUAAUCUUCCAUUUCUGGAGCUUGCUCAGCUUCCUUGUAAAACCCAGCUGUGCCUUCACCCUGGACAGGAGCAUCUGGUUAGUACAUGUGGCUGCGUCCUGUUGAUGGCAACCCUUGGGCCCAAGGAGGAGGGAAGGGAAGGGGAGGGGAGGCGAGGCGAGGUGAGGCAAGGCUAGGCGAGGUGAGGCGAGCCAACCCUAUGCCCUGGGGUUGGGCUGCCAGGCUGACAGCGAAGUGGACUUCCAGACUUUGUGAAGGAAGGUCAAGUGGUGGGAGCCCUAUAUACAUGAGGAGGCAGAAAUGUGGGGACAGAGCGUUCAUAGAAUAGAGGAACCACAGAGAGAGAGUUGAAUAAGAUAUUGGGGAAUGAAUUCCCUGGGGCAUUGCCAAGAAUUAAGGCCCAAAGAACAUUUUAAGAAGGGAAUACUGGUUGUCCAGGCUGUGGGAGGGGAAACUGGGAGGAAAACUGCCAUGUGUUGACUCAGAGAACAAAACAUGAGUCUGGUUUGGAGAGACGUGGUAAUAGUUGUUUGGGUUUUAGAUUUUCAGGCUAAGGACAAUGGGAUUGCAAGUACUUCAUGCAGUGGGAGUGGAGGGUUAGAUGCCAUGGAAGAACCUGGGGCGUGCAAGAUUUUGGGAGCUGAAAGCAGUGUGUGUCUGUAUGUCACCAUCCUAUGAUAGAAAAGCAAAAUGGAAGGAUUGUGAGGAGGAAAGCAGGCGACUUUGAGGAGAGUUGUAAUAGGGAGGAGCUGUCAUAGGUCUGCUUGUAAGAACUAGUAGAAUAUCAGAGUGUGAGAUCUGGGACAGGCCCUGGGGAGAAAGGAAGAGUGAGGGAAGGGAUAUCAGGAGGCAGGCAGAGGGAACAUUCAGGAGGGACUGGGGAAUGGGAGCUGAGUUAAUCAGGAAAUUUGACCAAAGUGUGCAGACUACCAAGAGAUGGAGAAGAAGUUAUUUGAAAGAAAAUGGGUUCAUAGGGGGCUUGGGAACAGGGAGAACCUGACUUAGCCUAUGAAUGAAGUUUGUGGCUUGUGGAAGUCAGAAUAUGGGCAGAGGAGUUUCUCUUGGUAAAUAUAUUUUUCUUGGCUUUCAAAGGAGUGUCUGCUAUGUGCCCACAUUUGUUCUAGUUAUUUAAGGUACUGCAGAGAGCAUCAUGAGGGUCCAUGAAAAAGUCUGUGGAAAGAGGGAUUUGUAAGGUUGUUUCAUUGUGUGUGUGUGUGUGUGUGUGUGUGUGUGUACAGAGAGAGAGAUAGAGAAUUAUUCUUAUCCAUUCAACUGAUGAUGUUUGAAUUCCUGGGCAAUUUCUUGUUUCCCUGCCGUGAAGAAUACUGCAAUAAAUACUGUGGUGAACGUAUCUCUCUGAUACA